GACGAACGCUGGCGGCGUGCCUAAUACAUGCAAGUCGAGCGGACCAAACAGGAGCUUGCUCUUGUUUGGUUAGCGGCGGACGGGUGAGUAACACGUGGGUAACCUGCCCGUAAGACCGGGAUAACUCCGGGAAACCGGAGCUAAUACCGGAUAACACCGAAGACCGCAUGGUCUUUGGUUGAAAGGCGGCUUCGGCUGCCACUUACGGAUGGGCCCGCGGCGCAUUAGCUAGUUGGUGAGGUAACGGCUCACCAAGGCGACGAUGCGUAGCCGGCCUGAGAGGGUGACCGGCCACACUGGGACUGAGACACGGCCCAGACGCCUACGGGAGGCAGCAGUAGGGAAUCUUCCGCAAUGGACGAAAGUCUGACGGAGCGACGCCGCGUGAGCGAAGAAGGUCUUCGGAUCGGAAAGCUCUGUUGUUAGGGAAGAAGAAGCGCCGUUCGAACAGGGCGGCGCGGUGACGGUACCUAACGAGAAAGCCCCGGCUAACUACGUG
rnacentral:rRNA from 1 species